rnacentral:ncRNA from 1 species
AAACUCAGGAGAGUCUUUUUCCCGUCUGUAUCUGUAAUGCAGAUCAAUCGGGGAAGAGCGCCGAAGGUGUAAGCGGCGCCGGGGAACAGCAGCAGAUCCGGGUUAUCCGGGACGGCUGGAAUUUCCACGCGGCUGCCGUGAGUCUCUCAGGCAAAAGGAUGGAGGUAUAA